GAACUGCGAUACAUACAUACAUACUAUGUAUUGCAGAAUUCGGUUAGCCAGUGAGUAUGCAUGUUUUCAGCACCACAACACCGUGAUGCGAUUUAACGUCGCCGAUGAUGGUAUCAAAUCAGGCAGGGCUACCCAUUGAACUUGA
rnacentral:misc_RNA from 1 species